rnacentral:rRNA from 1 species
CCUACGGGUGGCAGCAGCUAAGAAUAGUCCGCAAUGGGGGAAACCCUGACGGUGCGACGCCGCGUGGGUGAUGAAGGCCUGACGGUUGUAAAGCCCUUUUCUCAGCGAAGAAUAAGGUGAGGAGUGGAACGCCUCAUCGAUGACGUUAGUUGAGGAAGAAGCCCCGGCCAAUUACGUGCCAGCAGCCGCGGUAACACGUAAGGGGCGAGCGUUGUUCGGAAUUAUUGGGCGUAAAGGGCGCGUAGGCGGUGCAGCAAGCUUGGUGUAAAAGGCUCGGGCUCAACCCGAGGAAUGCGCUGGGAACUGCUGCGCUAGAGUCUUGGAGGGGAAGCUGGAACUCCUGGUGGAGGGGUGAAAUCUGUAGAUAUCAGGAAGAACACCGGUAGCGAAGGCGAGCUUCUGGCCAAAGACUGACGCUGAGGCGCGAAAGCGUGGGUAGCGAACUGAAUUAGAUACUCAGG